rnacentral:rRNA from 1 species
AUUGAACGCUGGCGGCAGGCCUAACACAUGCAAGUCGAGCGGAUGAAGGGAGCUUGCUCCUGGAUUCAGCGGCGGACGGGUGAGUAAUGCCUAGGAAUCUGCCUGGUAGUGGGGGAUAACGUCCGGAAACGGGCGCUAAUACCGCAUACGUCCUGAGGGAGAAGGUGGGGGUUCUCGGGACCUAAGCUUUUCAUAUUAGCCUAGGUCGGUUAACAUAGUGGGUGGGGUAAGGGCCUACCAAGGCGACGUUCGGUAACUGGUCUGAGAGGAUGAUCAGUCACACGGGAACUGAGACACGGUCCAGACUCCUACGGGAGGCAGCAGUGGGGAAUAUUAGACAAAGGGCGAAAGCCUGAUCCAGCCAUGCCGCGUGUGUGAAGAAGGUCUUCGGAUUGUAAAGCACUUUAAGUUGGGAGGAAGGGCAGUAAGUUAAUACCUUGCUGUUUUGACGUUACCAACAGAAUAAGCACCGGCUAACUUCGUG